CAGACUCUCAUUGGUCUCCUGACCACUGGUGCUGCGCCGCGCACACCUGCCGGAUAAACAAUAGCACAGGAGCAGUAAGAUCUUUCAGCAAUCUUUUGAGUUACUUGCUAUCUUCGGGUGGUUUUAUAGAUGGCAGACAACAAAACAACGUUGCUGGUCCCUGAAAACAGACACAGCAGACAUUAGCCUCUCUUCCAUGUCACAGGCCAACACUUAUGGUGUUGCAGUGCAAUAAAAGAUGCAUUUUGGAAA